GACGGAGGGUGCAAACGUUUGUUCGGAAUUACUGGGCGUAAAGCGCGUGUAGGCGGCUAUGUAAGUCGGGCGUGAAAUCCCACGGCUCAACCGUGGAAGUGCACCCGAAACUGCGUAGCUAGAGUCCUGGAGAGGAAGGUGGAAUGCUUGGUGUAGAGGUGAAAUUCGUAGAUAUCAAGCGGAACACCGGUGGCGAAGGCGGCCUUCUGGACAGUGACUGACGCUGAGACGCGAAAGCGUGGGGAGCAAACAGGG
rnacentral:rRNA from 1 species